UGAAAAGAACCCCGGGAGGGGAGUGAAAUAGAACCUGAAACCGUGUGCCUACAACCGCUCAGAGCCCCUUAUGAGGGUGAUGAGGUGCUUUUUGUAGAACGAGCCAACGAGUUACGGUAUGUAGCAAGGUUAAGUACUUAAGGUACGGAGCCGAAGGGAAACCGAGUCUGAAUAGGGCGACUAGUUGCAUGCCGUAGACCCGAAACCGGGUGACCUAUCCAUGGCCAGGUUGAAGCGAGGGUAAAACCUCGUGGAGGACCGAACCACGUUGCUGUUGAAAAAGCAUGGGAUGAGCUGUGGAUAGCGGAGAAAUUCCAAUCGAACCCGGAGAUAGCUGGUUCUCUCCGAAAUAGCUUUAGGGCUAGCGUCGAGUAUGAGUAGUGGAGGUAGAGCACUGAAUGGGCUAGGGGGCAUAGCGCUUACCGAACCUUAUCAAACUCCGAAUGCCACAUACUUUGAGCUCGGCAGUCAGACUACGAAUGAUAAGAUCCGUGGUCAAAAGGGAAACAGCCCAGAUCGUCAGCUAAGGUCCCAAAGUGUAAGUUAAGUGGGAAAGGAUGUGAGAUUUCUAAGACAACUAGGAUGUUGGCUUAGAAGCAGCCAUUCAUUAAAAGAGUGCGUAAUAGCUCACUAGUCGAGAGAUCUUGCGCCGAAAAUGUAACGGGGCUAAACUUACCACCGAAGCUACGGGCUUGAACUUAGUUCAAGCGGUAGGAGAGCGUCGUAACCGGGCUGAAGUCGUACCGUAAGGAGCGGUGGACUGGUUACGAGUGAGAAUGUUGGCAUCAGUAGCGAGAUGUGGGUGAGAAUCCCACAGGCCGAAAACCUAAGGUUUCCUCAGGAAGGUUCGUCCGCUGAGGGUUAGUCGGGACCUAAGCCGAGGCCGAAAGGCGUAGGUGAUGGACAACUGGUUGAUAUUCCAGU
rnacentral:rRNA from 1 species